rnacentral:rRNA from 1 species
UACGAAGGGGGCGAGCGUUGUUCGGAAUUACUGGGCGUAAAGCGCACGUAGGCGGCUUUACAAGUCAGGGGUGAAAGCCCGCGGCUCAACCGCGGAAUUGCCCUUGAGACUGUAUCGCUUGAACACGGGAGAGGUGAGUGGAAUUCCGAGUGUAGAGGUGAAAUUCGUAGAUAUUCGGAAGAACACCAGUGGCGAAGGCGGCUCACUGGACCGUAGUUGACGCUGAGGUGCGAAAGCGUGGGGAGCAAACAGG